UGUGACUUUGAAUACAAUUAGAAGCAGACCAAACGAUGCAAAAAUAAAGCUGCUGACAUUCAUCCUUAUGGUGCACAUUAGCUGGAAUGGAUACAAAAUGUCACCAAGCCAUUUCAGAACAAACAUAUUGGGGACUGCAAGUCUGCCGCUUGGAGAAUCAUCACUGCACACAUCAAGAGAGCACCCCCUGCACCUGGAAGAUACGUGUGUCUCUCCACAAGCGAAUCAACUAGUGGACUUCCAAAGCCUUCGUGUAGUUUUCCUUUUGUGGAAAUGGAAUCAGGCAGUAUGUAUUGUUUUGUGCUGUGUUGCUUUUGCUCAAAAUCACGUUUGUAUGAAAUUUAUCACUGUUGUUGCAUUCA